AGAGGAACUCUUGGCCCAGGGGGAAAGCCUGGAAGAGGACCAAGAGGAUGUGGCUGCGAUCGACGACAACAAGAAAUGUGACUCUGCUAGCUUGGAGAAGGCCAGCAGCAGCUCCCUCUCCAUAGACCUUGUGGACAGCACCUCCACACAGACAGGGAAGGACGAGGCAGUGAAGGAAGGAGUGGGAAAGUCAGGAGAUUGGAAGCGUGGUUGCAAGAAGACCCUGAAGAAGAACAAGAUGGCUCCCUUUGGCACUGAUGAUACCGUGGCUGAUGAGCCGGGAAAACAGUGUCUCCUCCUGCGGAGUACAGCUGCCCUGGCAAACUUAUUUUGCUUCCCCUGCAAAAAGAGUGGUAAAAAGUUCAAGCCAUAAAAAGUUCAAGCCAUGAUGAAUCCCCCCAUAGCCCAGCCCAGACCUAUUUAAUUAAAUAAACAUGUACUUG
rnacentral:lncRNA from 1 species